rnacentral:rRNA from 1 species
GAUGAACGCUAGCGGCAGGCUUAAUACAUGCAAGUCGAGGGACAGCACAGGUAGCAAUACUGGGUGGUAACCGGCAAACGGGUGCGGAACACGUACACAACCUUCCUUUAAGUGGGGGAUAGCCCAGAGAAAUUUGGAUUAAUACCCCGUAAUAUAGUUGAAUGGCAUCAUUUGAUUAUUAUAGCUACGGCGCUUAAUGAUGGGUGUGCGGCUGAUUAGAUAGUUGGCGGGGUAACGGCCCACCAAGUCUACGAUCAGUAGCUGAUGUGAGAGCAUGAUCAGUCACACGGGCACUGAGACACGGGCCCGACUCCUACGGGAGGCAGCAGUAAGGAAUAUUGGUCAAUGGACGCAAGUCUGAACCAGCCAUGCCGCGUGAAGGAUUAAGGUCCUCUGGAUUGUAAACUUCUUUUAUUUGGGACGAAAAAGGGCCUUUCUAGGUCAACUGACGGUACCAGAUGAAUAAGCACCGGCUAACUCCGUGCCAGCCGCCGCAGUAAGAC